rnacentral:rRNA from 1 species
GGACGAACGCUGGCGGUGUGCUUAACACAUGCAAGUGGUGCGACGAACCAGAGCUUGCUCUGGGGCAAAGCCGCGAACGGGUGAGUAACACGUGGGUAAUCUACCCCGAUGACCGGGACAACCCGAGGAAACUCGGGCUAAUACCGGAUGUGGUACGGAGACAUAAGUCUCUUUACUAAAGGUAGCUUCGGCUUCCGCAUUGGGAGGGGCCCGCGGCCCAUUAGCUAGUUGGUGGGGUCAAGGCCUACCAAGGCAACGAUGGGUAGCUGGUCUGAGAGGACGAUCAGCCACACUGGGACUGAGACACGGCCCAGACUCCUACGGGAGGCAGCAGUGGGGAAUCUUGCGCAAUGCGCGAAAGCGUGACGCAGCAACACCGCGUGAGGGAAGACGGCCUUAGGGUUGUAAACCUCUUUCAGAUGGGACGAAGGUGAUGCGGUGAAUAGCCGAUGUCAUUGACGGUACCGUCAGAAGAAGCUCCGGCUAACUACGUG